rnacentral:tRNA from 1 species
GCUGAGGUCGCCUAACCUGGUAUGGCACAGGUCUGCUAAACCUGCGGAGCUUUUGCUCCUUACGGGUUCAAAUCCCGUCCUCAGCG